rnacentral:lncRNA from 10 species
UGUUUUUGUUUGUUUGUUUUUGUUUUUAAUCUCCAAGGAUACCCUGACUGUGUCCUGCCCUCUAUCUCCAUCAGUGUUACUCUAGUGCGGGCACCAUCUUCAAUCACCUGGACCACUCCAAGAGCCUCUUAAUUGGUUUUCCUGCUUCUCUUGCCCACAUAUUUUGAGCCCUUGUUCUCAGGAAAGCAGUCUGCCAUUUUGUGAGUAUCCCUGAGAAGAGGCCCAUAUGGCAAGGAACUGAUGCCAUCAACAGAGUGAGAGUAUGAACACUGCCAACAUCCACAUGAGUGAGGUGGGGAGCAGAUGUCCCUGUCCAGCCUUGAGAUGACUACGGCCCCAGCAGAUACAUGAUUGCAGUCUUGUCACAGAUCCCAAGUGAGAGGCUCUCAGCUAAGUGGCUCCUGGAUUCCUGACCCACAGAAACUGUGAGAUAAUUACAUGUGUGUUGUUUCAAGUGGCUAAGUUUUGGAAUGUAAUGUGGCAUUUAUC